rnacentral:lncRNA from 1 species
GUCACAAUUUACCCAAGAUCAGCACAACCAGGUCUGUAUGGCAGCCUCUGACAUGUCCAAGGUAUUCUACCUGAAGGGCUGAUGUGGACUGUCCUCUCAUCCUUCAUUGAUUAUCUGCUCAACUGGCAGAUGGUUGACCCCCUCCACCCAUCCUGAGAGGGACCUUGUGGAGCUUCUGAGGCUACCAUCUGCACUGUGGUUCCUGUCUUUGUUUUCUCUAUUCCCUGGAUGCUUCUUCUACUCACCUCUAAGGUGGCUCCUGGGUGACCUUGGCUCUCCAGCUUUUUUGUUCUCCUG